GUGUUGGCCUGGGCAGCGCAUAUACUAAAAUUGGAAUGAUACAGAGAAGAUUAGCAGGGCCCCUGCGCAAGGAUGACAUACAAAUUCGUGAGACGUUCCAUAUUUUU